rnacentral:rRNA from 1 species
ACGGAAGGCAGCAGUGGGGAAUAUUGCACAAUGGGCGAAAGCCUGAUGCAGCGACGCCGCGUGAGUGAAGAAGUAUCUCGGUAUGUAAAGCUCUAUCAGCAGGGAAGAAAAUGACGGUACCUGACUAAGAAGCCCCGGCUAACUACGUGCCAGCAGCCGCGGUAAUACGUAGGGGGCAAGCGUUAUCCGGAUUUACUGGGUGUAAAGGGAGCGUAGACGGUUUGGCAAGUCUGAAGUGAAAUGCGGGGGCUCAACUCCUGAACUGCUUUGGAAACUGUCGAACUAGAUUGCAGGAGAGGUAAGUGGAAUUCCUAGUGUAGCGGUGAAAUGCGUAGAUAUUAGGAGGAACACCAGUGGCGAAGGCGGCUUACUGGACUGUAACUGACGUUGAGGCUCGAAAGCGUGGGGAGCAAACAGGAUUAGAUACCCUGGUA